CAAAGGAAUUGACGGGGCCCGCACAAGCGGUGGAGCAUGUUGGUUUAAAUUCCGAAGCAACGCGAAGAACCUUACCAGGUCUUGACAUCCCGAUGCUAUUUCUAGAGAUAGAAAGUUACUUCGGUACAUCGGUGACAGGUGGUGCAUGGUUGUCGUCAGCUCGUGUCGUGAGAUGUUGGGUUAAGUCCCGCAACGAGCGCAACCCCUAUUGUUAGUUGCCAUCAUUCAGUUGGGCACUCUAGCGAGACUGCCGGUAAUAAACCGGAGGAAGGUGGGGAUGACGUCAAAUCAUCAUGCCCCUUAUGACCUGGGCUACACACGUGCUACAAUGGUUGGUACAACGAGUUGCGAGUCGGUGACGGCGAGCCAAUCUCUUAAAGCCAAUCUCAGUUCGGAUUGUAGGCUGCAACUCGCCUACAUGAAGUCGGAAUCGCUAGUAAUCGCGGAUCAGCACGCCGCGGUGAAUACGUUCCCGGGCCUU
rnacentral:rRNA from 1 species